AAUUUCAAUCUCCCAUGGCUUCCUAUAUAAACACAUACAUACAGCUUCAAGCUUCAUACCAACCUACUGAUAACUCUUCAAAUUCCAGCAAUGGCUACUACACAUAAAUUCUAUCCGACCUCCAUUUUCGUCACGGUUCUCGUCUUUGCCAUGGUUCUCUCUCCCAUGACGAUUUCCACUGCCAAUGCUACUCGUGUGCUUCUGCAACAAGUUAAUAAGCCACCGAUAUGCCCGGCCUGCGUGUGCUGUGAGCCGGCACCGGCGGGAUCCUGUUGCCGGUGCUGCGCCACUCCGAUUCAGACUUCGUCUCAGAAUGGGUCGCCAUGAAAACUUGCAGCUGAGCUUGGAAGAAAAUCAAACGAUUUGAAGAUGCUUAGUGAAUAAGGAGACUCUCCCCAUGCAAACAAAAAUUUAGAGUUUGAUAUUGUAAGUGAAGAAUAAAUGACAUAAAGGUUUAAUAUAUUAUUAAAAAUUAUUUUAUAA